rnacentral:rRNA from 1 species
AAUCUUCCGCAAUGGACGAAAGUCUGACGGAGCAACGCCGCGUGAGUGAUGAAGGUUUUCGGAUCGUAAAACUCUGUCAUUGGGGAAGAAUAAAUGACGGUACCCAACGAGGAAGCCCCGGCUAACUACGUGCCAGCAGCCGCGGUAAUACGUAGGUGGCAAGCGUUGUCCGGAUUUAUUGGGCGCAAAGCGCGCGCAGGCGGUCUUUUAAGUCUGAUGUGAAAUCUUACAGCUUAACUGUAAGCGGUCAUUGGAAACUGGGAGACUUGAGUGCAGAAGAGGAGAGUGGAAUUCCAAGUGUAGCGGUGAAAUGCGUAGAGAUAUGGAGGAACACCAGUGGCGAAGGCGACUCUCUGGUCUGUAACUGACGCUGAGGCGCGAAAGCGUGGGGAUCAAACA